rnacentral:rRNA from 1 species
GUAUUCCUACGGGGGGCAGCAGUGAGGAAUAUUGGUCAAUGGGCUUACGCCUGAACCAGCCAAGUCGCGUGAGGGAAGACUGCCCUAUGGGUUGUAAACCUCUUUUGUCAGGGAGCAAUUGGCGCUACGUGUAGCGUUAUCGAGAGUACCUGAAGAAAAAGCAUCGGCUAACUCCGUGCCAGCAGCCGCGGUAAUACGGAGGAUGCGAGCGUUAUCCGGAUUCAUUGGGUUUAAAGGGUGCGCAGGCGGGCCUUUAAGCCGGCGGUGAAAUCGCGGGG